rnacentral:rRNA from 1 species
AAUAAACGCUGGCGGCGUGCUUAACACAUGCAAGUCGAACGAGAAAGUUCUUCGGAACGAGUAAAGUGGCGAACGGGUGCGUAACACGUAGGAAUCUACCCUUUAGUGAAGGAUAACACCGAGAAAUCGGUGCUAAUACUGCAUAAGUCUCUACGGAGAGAAAGAUGGCCUCUUGCUAUCGCUAAAGGAUGAGCCUGCGGACUAUUAGUUAGUUGGUAGGGUAAUGGCCUACCAAGACGAUGAUGGUUAGCCGACCUGAGAGGGUGUACGGCCACACUGGGACUGAGAUACGGCCCAGACUCCUACGGGUGGCAG